CAACAGGGAUUGCCUCAGUAACGGCGAGUGAAGCGGCAACAGCUCAAAUUUUAAAGCUGGCGUCCUCGACGUCCGCGUUGUAAUUUGGAGAGGCACCUUCGGUUUGGGCGCCGGCUUAUGUUCCUUGGAACAGGACGUCACAGAGGGUGAGAAUCCCGUGCCGUCGGCUGUCCCAUUCCACGUGAAGUGUCUUCGACGAGUCGAGUUGUUUGGGAAUGCAGCUCAAAAUGGGUGGUAAAUUUCAUCUAAAGCUAAAUAUUGGUGGGAGACCGAUAGCGCACAAGUAGAGUGAUCGAAAGAUGAAAAGCACUUUGAAAAUAGAGUUAAAAAGCACGUGAAAUUGUUGAAAGGGAAGCGCUUGAGACCAGACUCGGCUUCGGACGAUCAGCCUCCCUUCUGGGCGGUGCACUCGUCUUUGGUCGGGCCAGCAUCGGUUGAGACGGCGGGACAAGGGCUUCGGGAAUGUGGCUCCUCUCGGGGAGUGUUAUAGCCCGUGGUGCAAUGCCGCCCGCCUCGACCGAGGACCGCGCUUCGGCUAGGAUGCUGGC
rnacentral:rRNA from 1 species